UACAGAGGGUGCAAGCGUUGCUCGGAUUUACUGGGCGUAAAGCGUACGCAGACGGUUUGGUAGGUCGGGCGUGAAAGCCCUGGGCUCAACCCAGGAAAUGCGCUCGAAACCGCCUCACUCGAGGAUAGGAGAGGAAAGCGGAAUUCCCGGUGUAGAGGUGAAAUUCGUAGAUAUCGGGAGGAACACCAGCGGCGAAGGCGGCUUUCUGGCCUAUUACUGACGUUCAGGUACGAAAGCGUGGGUAGCAAACAGG
rnacentral:rRNA from 1 species